rfam:Schistosoma rodhaini strain Burundi genome assembly, scaffold: SROB_scaffold0001940
AUCCAGCUGAAGAGUCGCAAAUAGGUCGAAAUGCGCAUCUUGGAU